rnacentral:rRNA from 1 species
CCUACGGGGGACAGCAGUGAGGAAUAUUGGUCAAUGGCCGGAAGGCUGAACCAGCCAAGCCGCGUGAGGGACGAAGGUGCCAAGCAUUGUAAACUUCUUUUGUCAAGGGACAAAAUCAGGCUCGAGAGCCUGACCGAGGGUACUUGAAGAAACAGCAUCGGCUAGCUCCGUGCCAGCAGCCGCGGUAAUACGGAGGAUGCGGGCGUUAUCCGGUUUUAUUGGGUUAAAAGGGUGCGUAGGCGGACUGUUAGGUCAGAGGUAAAGGCCCGGGGCGCAACCCCGGCGAGCCGUUGAAACUGGCUGUCUUGAGAUGUCGAGAGGUAGGCGGAAUGCGCAGUGUAGCGGUGAAAUGCUUAGAUAUUGCGCAGAACUCCGAUUGCGAAGGCAGCAUACCGGCGGCGAUCUGACGCUGAGGCACGAAAGCGUGGGUAUCGAACAGGAUUAGAUACCCGGGUAGUC